CUGUUUUCUGCCCUCAGUCAUGAAAGCAGGGCCCAGUCUGGACAUAGGUGGGCACCAGAGCUUGUCAACAUGACAGAAGGAAGAGAUGAACCAUAGCAUCUUUCCGGAUCUCUAUGUAUUAGCCUGAAACCCCUUUGGAUCACAUCUCCCUACUAAAAAGGACAUUUGAGCAAAGACCCAGUGCACAAAGCUUAGUGCCUG
rnacentral:lncRNA from 10 species